UGGCCCACUUCCAUUUAAAAAGAACAAAAGCUCCAUACUUUAAUAAAUCCACAAGGCCCCAAAUUUUUAAAACAACCGAGGCCCAAAUAUUAAAAAAAACUAGGAGCCCAUUUAACCACCAUCAUCUACACGCCCUUUUUCUUUCUCUCUCUCCCUAUCUCUCUUUCUCUCUCGACGGAAAAAGGAUUUGCAGAAGCUCAACACCUCCUCCGACUCAAUUCCAGUUCAGAGCCCGCGACUCGCCGGAGGACGUCGCCACCGUCGCUGCAGACCGCACGGAGCUCGCCGCUGUGCCGUCGGGAAGAGCUGUUGCCGACCGCACCGCUGCUCAUCGUCGCCGGGAUCCGCCGCCGUCGCUGCCGGGGACGCGACGCCACUGCUGCCAGCAGCAGCUCUCGGUCAGUCUCCGUCACCCGUCGCCCCGAGUUAGCACGAAACAGACCCGACGCCUCCGACCCUAACCCGAUUCGCCCCGCAAGUUGAGUUCUCAAUUUUGAUUUCAGUUCUUUAAAAGUUCGAUCUUUUAUUCAGUUUUCUUCUAUUAAAACGAUUGAGAGGUGGUUUACAGAUUAAUAGAUGGUAGUGUGUGAUGUAAGGAUGCAGCAGUGUCAAAUCGGAUUUGGUUGGAAGGAGGUGUAUACCUUCACAAUUUGGGACGAGUAGCUGUAAACAAUAGAGGCUUUUGAGGAUUUGAAGAAGGCUUUAGUGAGUGCUCCCAUUCUCAUCACCCCCGAUUGGAGCCAACCAUUUGAAAUUAUGUGUGAUGCAAGGGACAUUGUCGUUGGUUCCACCUUGGGGCAGAAGAGAGCUAUUAGACACUUGUUUGCAAAGAAAAAAGCAAAACCAAGACUCAUUCGGUGGAUUCUAUUGCUUCAAGAAUUCAAUGUGGAGAUAAGAGAUAGAAAAUGAUGUGAAAAUGUAGUAGCGGAUCACUUGUCUCAGUUGGAGCAUCCGGUAGAGGGAGAAGAUAUAUCACAAAAAAUCAAUGAGGACUUCCCCGACGAGCAUCUAUUCUUCACUCAUGCCACUUUCCCAUGGUAUGCCGACAUUAUUAAUUAUUUACCAGCCCAGGUACACCCUCCCGAACUUACUCCUUAUGAAAGGAAGAAAUUUUAUAGAGAUGUUAGAUCUUAUUUUUGGGAUGAGCCCUACUUGUUCAAGAGAUGUGCAGAUAAUAUACUCAGGAGGUGUGUACCGCAAGAAGAUUGGGCAGCCAUAGUUGAAAGAUGUCACUCGUCGCCAACUGGAGGACACUUUGGUGUGCAAAGGACAGCCAUCAAAAUCCUACAAAGCGGGUUCUAUUGGUCAACCAUCUACCGUGACUCUGCCAGUUUUGUGCUCCAAUGCAACGAAUGCCCGCGCACGGGGGGAAUAUCCAAGAAGAAGGAGAUGCAUGUGAACACCAUCAUUGAGGUAGAAUUAUUUGAUGUAUGGGGGAUAUAUUUUAUGGGACCGUUCCCAAAAUUAGGGGAGUACCAAUACAUUUUACUUGCAGUUGAAUGUGUCUAGAUGGGUGGAAGCAAUUCCUACCAAAACUAAUGAUUCUAAAGUUGUAACUGCAUUUGUGAGGAAAAACAUUUUUAGUAGGUUUGGUACACCCCGCGCUCUCAUAAGCGAUGGAGGAUCUCACUUCAACAAUAGGUGGCUAGACAACGCAUUGGACAAGUAUGGAGUCAAGCAUAGAGUCACCUCGCCAUAUCACCCCCAAGCCAAAGGGCAGACCGAGCUUGCAAAUAGGGAGAUCAAGUCCGUUCUACAGAAAACAGUGAGCACUAAUAGAAAGGAUUGAGCACUCCGUUUGGAUGAUGCGUUGUGGGCAUAUCGUACCGCAUACAAAUCUCCUAUAGGUAUGUCUCCUUAUCAAUUAGUUUUUGGAAAAUCAUGUCAUUAGCCUUUUGAGUUGGAGUAUAGGUCCUAUUAGGUGGUCAAGAAGUUGAAUCAAGAUUUUCAAAAGGCCGGUGAAGAAAUGCGCCUCUUUCUCAACGAGAUGGACGAGUUUCGAAUGGAAGUAUAUGAUAGCUUUUCUACUUACAAGGAAAGGAUGAAGGCCUACUACGAUAGGAUGAUUAGCCCACGAGAGCUCACCUUGUGGGAUGUAAUGUUGUUGUACAAUUCAAGACUCUCUCUUUUCCCGGGAAAAUUGAAGUCCAAAUGGACCGGCCCUUACAUGAUCAAAAAAAUCUAUGAUGGCGGGACGGUUGAGUUGCUAGCUCCGGAUGGGACGUUAUUUCAAGCCAAUGGCCACCGUGUGAAGAAAUAUUAUAGCUCGGACAAGGUGUUGGAGGAGGAAGUGGCCCUAAAAGAACCACCCAAGGAGUAAAAAAUAGGUUUCUGGACUCUCACCAGCGACCGCUGCAGAGUCCGCAGAGACCCGCUGGCCACCCACUGGAAAGGUUCUGACUUGCCACAGUGACCGCUGGUGGACUCCCAACGACCGCUGCCCAAUUUUUCAAAAUUUCACCCCGUCCAACCAUUACGCGAAAAAUUUUCAAGGUAUGUUUUCUUUUCAGUAGUUUACUCACGUCCUUACCGACUCUACAAACUUAUUUUACACUUUGUUGCAAAUAAGUUUGGGGGAUGAAGUGGUGGGCCGUGGGUUUAGGGUUUUGUUUUAGGUUUUCAGUCAAGUUUUUGUUUUAAAAAUCACAAAGGUGAAUCCAUGUCAUGAACAUAGCAUGAAGAACUUAGAAACACGCAUGCUUAGGGACACAUUAGACCGAGUUGCCAAUAAUAUGAAG